UUUUUUUUUUUUUCAUGUAAUAGUAUUUUCAUUGUAAACACAUUAUGUUCUAUCACUGUGACAGCUAUGAGUACAUGGACUUCUGGGGUAAAGGAACGCAAGUCACAGUUACAUCUGGCACACCAGCCCCACCCACUGUCUUUCCUCUGAUGCAAUGUGGCUCCGGAGCAGGAGACAUGGUCACUCUCGGCUGUCUGGCCACCGGCUUCAAACCCCUUCCACUGACAUUUGCGUGGAGCAAAGAUGGGGCCGAUUUGUCUGACUUCAUUCAGUAUCCUUCAGUGGAGAAGGACAACCUUUACACGGGAGUCAGUCAGAUCCGAGUGAGGCAAGCCGACUGGGACGGCAGGGCCAAAUUUCGAUGUGUCGCCAAACAUUCAACUAAAACUGUUGAUGCUGUGAUUACAAAAACAGAAGAGAGGAUGGAGAGGAUUGUGUCUCCAAACAUGACAUUGUAUCCGCUGUGGGAGGGCAACCUUACAGGAGACUCCUCUGUCAAACUUAGAUGCGCCUUAAGUGGCUUCUUCCCGGACAUGCUGAGUGUCGAGUGGCUGCAGGGCAACCAAAUCAUCGACGGCGUGCAAACCGUGAGCAAGUUUCAGAGUGUGACGACCCCAAAGACCUUCAGUCUAAUCAGUGAGAUUGAACCUGAUGCAAAAGAGUGGACAAACGGCUUAAGGUUUACCUGCAAGUCCACUCACAACAAGGUGGAAGAGAAAAAGUCAAUCAGUAUCUGUGAAACACAGGCAAGCGUCCCACCUUCCGUUCAUGUGGAGCUCCCCAGCUUCAAGGAAGUCAUGACGGAAACAUCCCAAGUGAAAGCAACAUGCUCGGUGCGCACCGCAUUGGAUGCCGUUGUCACAUGGCUGCUGGACGGCAAAGCAGCCGCCGAACAAGCGAACGCGUACGCUAAUGCAUCUCACGUCAUCAGUACUCUGACAGUGAUGCCUGAUGUGUGGAGACAAAUCAGGAUUCUCAAAUGUAAAGUUGUGCAUCGUUGCUUUCCUGACGUCGAGGAGACCAUACGUGUGUCAGGUGUUGCAGUCACCGCUCCACUGGUGGAGAUGAGGCGAUCUCUUGCAGAUUUACAGAAUAAAAACAGCGGCGUGUUCGAGUGUGACGUCACGCAACUAGACGCCAUCGACCUCUACGUCACAUUUCAGGCCGACGGUGUGGAUAUUUCUAACAAACAGUAUGUUGAUCUCCCUGAAGGCCUGGGACCACAUUCCAUCCGUCCACGUUUCAGUUUGCACGAGUCCUACAGGAAGACUGACGCAAAUUUAACCUGCAAAGUGAACCAAGGCUUCUCCGACAGCUUCCGCUCAAACCCCAUUUACAGCCUUUUUGAGAACCCAUCAGUGGAACUUUUUCUGGCCCCCGUUGAGGAAUCAAAACCUCAGAGGGUUCUGUGCUCUGGUCAGGGCUUUAACCCUCAAAUUAAAUGGUUCAGCGAGGCUAAGCAGAGAGCUCCAUCAAUUACUAGCAUCAGCAUGAGUGCGGAUGGACGUGUGACUGUGACCAGUCAACUCCACGUCCCACCGAUAGAGUGGCAAACUGGGAAGGUCUUCACCUGUCGAGUGUCUGACAAGUGGCUGAAAAAAAAUGUCACAAAGACCAUCAGCAUUUGCUCCGUAACCCCAAUAUCAUCCCAACAAGUUGGAGUGUUUGUUCACGGACCCCCACUCACAGAGUCUCAGCAGAGGGACAAGGUGACCAUUACUUGUCUUUUGGUUGGCCCUCGACUUCAUGAUUUUGUCAUCUCCUGGAAAGUAGAUGGGAAGAAAUACUCUCAGAAUUCCCACACGGAGGAGCCAACUCGUCACAGCAAUGGUACAGAGACCUUACGGAGCUUCCUCAGUGCGCCAGCAGAUGACUGGGAUGCAUAUAAACAAAUGUCUUGUGAGGGAAAACACAAGUGUUCCAACCAGGGCCAUGAGGACUACAUCAGCAAAAGCAGAGCCACAGUGACUCCUACUCAACCGUCAGCCAUCUUGCUCCAGGGUCGUGGUGAACUGGUGUGUCUGGUGUUUGGCUUCAGUCCCGCGUCCGUUAACGUCUCCUGGUUUCUGGAUGACACCAAUGAGCUGCCGGACUUUAACACCAGUCAACCCAGCAGAGGCCCAGAUGGGAAGUUCAGCAUCCAAAGCCGCCUUCGUCUGUCUCAAGUCAACUUGUUACCUGGGGCGGUUCACACCUGCAGGGUGACACAUGUGACCGUUACACUGACCUUGAAUCUAACCAAUCCAGUGAUUUUGCCGGAUUGCAACGUCUUGGAUGACAUUGCUCAUGCAGUUGUUAACCAAGAUAUCAAUGCGGAAAGCUGGUAUAUGUCUGCCACAUUCCUUGUCCUCUUCCUCAUCUCCACCAUCUAUGGUGUGGUGGCCACCCUGCUUAAGACUAAAUAAUUCUGUCAGUGGAACAGAUGAAUGCUUCCAAGACAGUGGAUGUUUUAUUGAACUUCUUUUGACAUAUAAAGAUUUGGUUUGAGUAUUGUAUCACUGGUUUAAUGUUUGCUUUUUACAAAGCAGUAUCACAACAACAUACAAAUUAGAAUAUUGUUUCUGCAUUUAAACAGUAAAAACAAAAAAAAGCUAAAAUAACACACCCUAAGUUACUCACAUUGACCACAAGAGUGCACCAAAGUUUAAACUGUAGUAACGCUUGCUUGCUUGAGUUUCGUUAUACAUGCUUGAAAAUGUUAAGUAUUGACAAAACUUAACUAAAGAACCAUUUCUUUACUACAACAGAUAUGUUUUUUUAAAUAUUAUAUUAUUUCCGUCCACAGUAUUUUUGAAAGUAUGUACACACUCCCACUAUACUGUCUGCAUGUGUUGUGUGUAUAUAGUGGGUUUAAAGGAAUUUCCAUCUCGGAGGGAGGACAACUCAGCAACAUCAAGGACAACUAUUGGCUACCUCUGCUAUGAAUUGGCUUUGUUGAUGUGUGAUUGGCCGGGGACUUGAGUUAGUAAGCCCAAAUCUGUGACGCUGUUGCUGGGAUGUGGAUGCACCAUGCGGAUGCCAUCCUAACUGCCAAGAGGCCGGUGAGAGGGAUGCAUGGCAUCAGGCCCACGGGACGGCCUGAGAGGGUGUCACUGUCUUUGACCACCGUCACAUCCCAUACUAAAAAAAUGAGUUACUGUAUAUUUGAUAUAGGGAAUUACGCUAACGUUUAGUACAAAGGAGUAAUGCAUUUGUGAUGUGUAAAAUAAAUAGUCUUGACGAGUCUAUAAGAUGGUAUUUUUUACUAUAUAAAAAUUCUGAAAAAAACCUGGAAAUGUAUACAUGCUAACCACAGUUGUCACCAAACGACUUUUGUCCCCUUGCACUUUACACUCACGUCCAUAACCAAGGUCGGCUAGUUUUUGUGGCACGAAAUAAAAUGUAGUUUGUGGCUUCGAUAUUACAAGGAUUUGAUUUGUAAGUAGCUAGCUAAUCAAAGUGAACCGACCAAGGUUUCAAAUGUCACUUGUUAUUGAAAAUAUAAAUAGUGUGCAUCUAAAUUUAGACAUAGCACCUUGCACCAGAAGUAUAGUUUUCCUCUGUCAAUGGUAAUGAUCCUGCCACAUGUUAACAUACAGAAACUUUGUUUAACUUCUACUUCCUCUGAUUAAGUUUGAUUUCUUCUCUACGAUGCGCCAGAGCCGAGGACCUCACUAAAUUAUGCAAUCGCAAUUGUUUGUUUAUCCAAGUGGUUGCAACUUUUUGUUCAAGGGGGAAAAAGUCGCAAUGUGAUCUGUUUUGUUCACUUAAAAGAAACUGGAUUUUUUAAAUACGUUUCUUUAGUUCACUCUUUAUACACCUUUUCGGACAUGCUAUAAUAAAAAACUGAGAAUAUGAGCUGUAUUGCAUUGUU